GAGUUUGAUCAUGGCUCAGAACGUACGCUGGCGGCACGCCUAACACAUGCAAGUCGAACGAAGUAGCAAUACUUAGUGGCAGACGGGUGAGUAACAUGUAGGUAUCUGCCCUUUGGCCUGGAAUAACACGAGGAAACUUGUGCUAAUACCGGAUAAGUCUUUACGGAGAAAGCUUUAUGCACCAUUGGAUGAGCCUGCACUUGAUUAGUUUGUUGGUGGGGUAAUGGCCUACCAAGACUGUGAUCAAUAGCUGAUUUGAGAGGAUGAUCAGCCACAUUGGGACUGAGACACGGCCCAAACUCCUACGGGAGGCAGCAGUGGGGAAUCUUGCACAAUGGAGGAAACUCUGAUGCAGCGAUGCCGCGUGAGUGAAGAAGGCCCUUGGGUUGUAAAGCUCUUUCGUCGGGGAAGAAAAUGACUGUACCCGAAUAAGAAGGUCCGGCUAACUUCGUGCCAGCAGCCGCGGUAAUACGAAGGGACCUAGCGUAGUUCGGAAUUACUGGGCUUAAAGAGUUCGUAGGUGGUUGAAAAAGUUAGUGGUGAAAUCCCAGAGCUUAACUCUGGAACUGCCAUUAAAACUUUUCAGCUAGAGUAUGAUAGAGGAAAGCAGAAUUUCUAGUGUAGAGGUGAAAUUCGUAGAUAUUAGAAAGAAUACCAAUUGCGAAGGCAGCUUUCUGGAUCAUUACUGACACUGAGGAACGAAAGCAUGGGUAGCGAAGAGGAUUAGAUACCCUCGUAGUCCAUGCCGUAAACGAUGUGUGUUAGACGUUGGAAAUUUAUUUUCAGUGUCGCAGGGAAACCGAUAAACACACCGCCUGGGGAGUACGACCGCAAGGUUAAAACUCAAAUGAAUUGACGGGGACCC
rnacentral:rRNA from 1 species